AUGAGAAGGAAGUAUUUCAAGAAUGAUAUGACAAACUGUGUGACUACAAUGAGGAGAUAUACUUAUGACAUGGCUUAAAGAAUACAAACUAAACAUUACAUGGACAAUCAAGAUUUACAUGGGCAAUCAAGAUUUGUUGGAUAUCAUGUUUUUUCAUAAUCCAGAAAGUCUUUUUGCCUUUCCGUGUCAAUGGAAUUAUCAUCCAGAUCAUUGUCUAUAUGGAAGCAGUUGCCAAGAAGCAGAAGAAGGAAUCUUGAUUCUUCAGGGAACAGAGGUGUUUACCAUGAUGAUAAGCAACCAGCAUUUAGAGUUGUUUAUGAAGCACUGAGAAAUUGUUCUUUUAAGAUGACAACAUUCAUUCCCUAAUAAAACCUUUAGAACUGGAACUACAAAAAGCAGUGCAUACAUACCGUGGAAAAAUUUACAAAAUAUUUGUCAAACAACUAACAAAAAGCAUAAGAGAUCAUUAUGCUGGAUCACCAAAGGAAAG
rnacentral:lncRNA from 1 species